rnacentral:tRNA from 1 species
GGAGGGAUGUCCGAGUGGUUAAAGGAGGCAGACUGUAAAUCUGUUGGCUAUGCCUACGGAGGUUCGAAUCCUCCUCCCUCCA